CUCAGGAUAGCUGGAACUUGUAGAAAUAGUUUUAUCAGGUAAAGCGAAUGAUUAGAAGCUCUGGGGAUGAAACAUCCUCGACUUAUUCUCAAACUUUAAAUAGGUAAGAUGAUUGCAGUACUUAAUUGACUGACAGUCUCUUGAAUAGUAAGUUCUUAGUGGGCCAUUUUUGGUAAGCAGAACUGGCGAUGUGGGAUGAACCAAACGUAAAGUUAAAGUGCCUAAAAGUACGUUCAUCAGAUACCACAAAAGGUGUUGAUUCAUCUUGACAGUUGGACAGUGGCCAUGGAAGUCGGAAUCUGCUAAGGAGUGUGUAACAACUCACCAACCGAAUGAAUUAGCCCUGAAAAUGGAUGGCGCUUAAACGUAUUACUUAUACUUUACCAUUAAGAUAAAUGCUAAAUCUUAAUGAGUAGGA
rnacentral:rRNA from 1 species